AAACUCCAGACCAGUUGGGAGACUUGAGCAAAGGACACUGCAGAUUUAAAAAAGAAAAAAAAAAAACACCUUCCUUUCUCACAGGCAUAAGACACAAAUUAUAUAUUGUUACGAAGCACUUUUUAUCAAGGGUCAGUUUUUACAUUUUAUAGCUGUGUGAGAAAGGCUUCCAGAUGUGAGACCAUCCCUCUUGUGCUCCAGACUUCAUCACAGGCUGCUUUGUACUGAAAAGGGGGAAAUUCUUGCCUUUCCUUUAAAAAAAAAAAUGCUUUUUGUAUUUGUCCAUACGUCCCUAUCCAUCUGAGCUUUAUAAGCGCCUGGGAGGAACAGCGAGCUUGGUGGAGGCAUUUCAUUGCAGGGCUGCUCCAUUCCUAGCUCGGAAAGCUUCCGCUCAGAGGUCCUGGCGCCUCGGCACAGCUGCCACGGGCUCUCCUGGGCUUGUGACACAGUCACAGCCUCAGUGUGACUCCGCCGUGGCCCCUGCAGCCGGGCAAGCAGGAGCAGGUCUCUUUGCAUCUGUUAUUUGAGGAACUCAAGUUUGGUUGCCAGAAAAAUGUGCUUCAUUCCCCCCUGGUUAAUUUUUACACACUCUAGGAAUCAUUUCCAAGAUCCUGUGAUGGCGAGGCAAAUGAUCCUUAAAGAAGGUGUGGGAUCUUUCCUCCAACCAGAGGGUUUCCGAAAGGUUCACUGCUUCAAUAUUUAAUGUUUUGGAAGCAUGUGAGGUUCCCAACACUGAGCGAAAACCUUAGGAGAAAACUUAAAAAUAUAUGAAUACAUGCACAGUUCAUAGCAACAGCCGCGCAUUCUGUUGACAAGGGAAAACCUUCAAAGCAUGUUUCUUUCCCCCACCGCAAUGGGACAUGCAGUAUCAAGCAAUAUAUUCAGGCCUCCCCCAUAACUCUUCCAUGGUAAACCAUGCAGUCCCCUACUGAAAGCUCAGAUGGCCGCGCGCCCUUUCCUGUGUACAUACACCCCUGAGAGCGCCCUCCACACACUGCCCUUCCGCGUUUGCCGCGUGUACCGCUGUGUCACAUGCCAUGUACAUGUCAGAAACCAUUAGCAUUGCAUGCAGGUUUCAUAUUCUUUCUAAGACAAAGAGAAAAGUAAUAAAAUAUAUUUGAAAUGUACCAAAA